CCCAGACUCCUACGGGAGGCAGCAGUGGGGAAUAUUGCACAAUGGGGGGAACCCUGAUGCAGCGACGCCGCGUGGGUGAAGGAGUACUUCGGUACGUAAAGCCCUAUCAGCAGGAAAGAAAAUGACGGUACCUGACUAAGAAGCCCCGGCUAACUACGUGCCAGCAGCCGCGGUAAUACGUAGGGGGCAAGCGUUAUCCGGAUUUACUGGGUGUAAAGGGAGCGUAGACGGCAGUGCAAGUCCGGAGUGAAAGCCCGGGGCUCAACCCCGGGACUGCUCUGGAAACUGUAAAGCUGGAGUGCGGGAGGGGCAGGCGGAAUUCCUGGUGUAGCGGUGAAAUGCGUAGAUAUCAGGAGGAACACCGGCGGCGAAGGCGGCCUGCUGGACCGUAACUGACGUUGAGGCUCGAAAGCGUGGGGAGCAAACAGGAUUAGAUACCCUUGUACA
rnacentral:rRNA from 1 species